rnacentral:misc_RNA from 1 species
GAUGAAGAACGCAGUGAAAUGCGAUAAUUAAUGUGAAUUGCAGAAUUCAGUGAAUCAUCGAGUCUUUGAACGCACAUUGCGCCCCCUGGUAUUCCGGGGGGCAUGCCUGUCCGAGCGUCAUUGCUACCCUCAAGCACGGCUUGUGUGUUGGGCUUCCGUCCCUGGCAACGGGGACGGGCCCAAAAGGCAGUGGCGGCACCAUGUCUGGUCCUCGAGCGUAUGGGGCUUUGUCACCCGCUCCCGUAGGUCCAGCUGGCAGCUAGCCUCGCAACCAAUCUUUUUAACCAGGUUGACCUCGGUUCAGGUAGGGAUACCCGCUGAACUUAAGCAUAUCAAUAAGCGGAGGA